ACGAUUAUGAUACAACAAUUUUUAUUUUUUAGGUAUUAUUUUUAAGUGUUUGACAUUGUCAUAUAUUUUGUGUUUUUACUCUUAGACACAUUGUAAAGUACAAUGUAAUUGUUGUAAAUGACAAAAUCCCACGUGUAAGUAAUCUUUGCCCCAAUGUAAAAUAGUAUAUUUGUUGUUUCAAUAACUUGCUUUCACUUUCG
rnacentral:lncRNA from 1 species